rnacentral:rRNA from 2 species
GACGGCGCGAGCAGGUGCGAAAGCAGGUCAUAGUGAUCCGGUGGUUCUGAAUGGAAGGGCCAUCGCUCAACGGAUAAAAGGUACUCCGGGGAUAACAGGCUGAUACCGCCCAAGAGUUCAUAUCGACGGCGGUGUUUGGCACCUCGAUGUCGGCUCAUCACAUCCUGGGGCUGAAGUAGGUCCCAAGGGUAUGGCUGUUCGCCAUUUAAAGUGGUACGCGAGCUGGGUUUAGAACGUCGUGAGACAGUUCGGUCCCUAUCUGCCGUGGGCGCUGGAGAACUGAGGGGGGCUGCUCCUAGUACGAGAGGACCGGAGUGGACGCAUCACUGGUGUUCGGGUUGUCAUGCCAAUGGCACUGCCCGGUAGCUAAAUGCGGAAGAGAUAAGUGCUGAAAGCAUCUAAGCACGAAACUUGCCCCGA